rnacentral:rRNA from 1 species
UACGUAGGGGGCAAGCGUUGUCCGGAUUUACUGGGCGUAAAGAGCGUGUAGGCGGCCAAGCAAGUCCGUUGUGAAAACUGGAGGCUUAACCUCCAGACGUCGACGGAAACCGCGUGGCUAGAGUCCGGAAGAGGAGAGUGGAAUUCCUGGUGUAGCGGUGAAAUGCGCAGAUAUCAGGAAGAACACCAAUGGCGAAGGCAGCUCUCUGGGACGGUACUGACGCUGAGACGCGAAAGCGUGGGGAGCGAACAGG